AGUGAACGCUGGCGGUAGGCCUAACACAUGCAAGUCGAACGGCAGCACAGGAGAGCUUGCUCUCUGGGUGGCGAGUGGCGGACGGGUGAGGAAUACAUCGGAAUCUACUCUGUCGUGGGGGAUAACGUAGGGAAACUUACGCUAAUACCGCAUACGACCUACGGGUGAAAGCAGGGGACCUUCGUGCCUUGCGCGAUUGAAUGAGCCGAUGUCGGAUUAGCUAGUUGGCGGGGUAAAGGCCCACCAAGGCGACGAUCCGUAGCUGGUCUGAGAGGAGAGUCAGCCACACUGGAACUGAGACACGGUCCAGACUCCUACGGGAGGCAGCAGUGGGGAAUAUUGGACAAUGGGCGCAAGCCUGAUCCAGCCAUACCGCGUGGGUGAAGAAGGCCUUCGGGUUGUAAAGCCCUUUUGUUGGGAGAGAAAUCCAGCUGGCUAGUACCCGGUUGGGAUGACGGUACCCAAAGAAUAAGCACCGGCUAACUUCGUGCCAGCCGCCGCCGUAA
rnacentral:rRNA from 1 species